rnacentral:sRNA from 1 species
AUGGCUGUCGUCAGCUCGUGCCGUGAGGUGUCAGGUUAAGUCCUGUAACGAGCGCAACCCCUGUCGUGUGUUAUACGUGUCACACGAGACUGCCGGUGUCAAACCGGAGGAAGGCGGGGAUGACGUCAAGUCAGCAUGUCCUUCAUAUCCUGGGCUACACACACGCUACAAUGGUCGGGACAAUAGGCAGCCAAGCCGCGAGGCGGAGCCAAUCCUCUAAACCCGAUCUCAGUUCGGAUUGUAGGCUGCAACUCGCCUGCAUGAAGUCGGAGUUGCUAGUAACCGCGCGUCAGCAACAGUGCGGUGAAUACGUUCCCGGGUCUUGUACACACCGCCCGUCACGUCAUGGAAGCUGGCAACACCUGAAGCCGGUGUCCUAACCGCAAGGAGGGAGCCGUCUAAGGUGGGGUUGGUGACUGGGACGAAGUCGUAACAAGGUAGCUGUAGCGGAAGCUGCGGCUGGAUCACCUCCUUUCAACGAGUACAGAGCAUAGGUAUAUAUUGUGUAUAUGAUAUAAAUUUAUGCUCAAAACAAAUGGUCUUCUUCUGACCAUGCCCGUAAGGCUUUCCUAUUACUAUUCAGAGGUUAAACUGCCUCUCUUCUGGUUUGGGCCUGUAGCUCAGUUGGUUAGAGCACUGUGCUGAUAACGCAGGGGUCACUGGUUCGAAUCCAGUCAGGCCCACUGUGCGGACUAGUAGGUAUUAUAACUGGCGGCUUUCCGCUCGUGGGGAUGUAGCUCAGCUGGGAGAGCGCCGCCUUUGCAAGGCGGAGGUCAGGGGUUCGAGCCCCCUCAUCUCCACCAAGUUGGUGGUACUGUUGCUUGAAGUAAUACAUUAUAAUAGUAAGGGAGUGUGGAAUAUAAAAUUUAGAUUUUCUUAACAGUUUUUCUCGUGGCUUUUCGUCUCUGGUAAUACUAAACCUGAUGAUUAGUCGGGUUUUUAUAUAUGAGAGUUGUACAACACAAGAUUUAUUCAUAAUCGGUUAGUGCUCUUGACAUGAGUUGAGAUCAUUUACGGGAAAUGAAUACCCGGCUUCAGUUCAACUAAACCUGUGAACUUGAAGUUUGCACCUUUCCAACUGAAUAGAGUAAUAAUAGUAAUGAAGAAAUGAAGAAAUGAACUUCAAUUUCUCCGCAUCAUGUUUUUAAGAAGCUACUAAGGGCAUAUGGUGGAUGCCUUGGCGUUGAGUGCCGAUGAAGGACGUAGUACACUGCGAUAAGCUUCGGGUAGUCGUGUGCAGGCGUUAUAACCCGUAGAUAUCCGAAUGGGGAAACCCGG